GGCCGUGUAGCCAAGUGGUAAGGCAUGGGUCUGCAAAACCCUUAUACGCGGGUUCGAUUCCCGCCGCGGCCU
rnacentral:tRNA from 1 species